UGGACAAAGAAAGUGUGUCAGAACCAAGGAUCAUGAUUAAUCAAGUCUAUGUACCUGACCUGU
rnacentral:snoRNA from 1 species